rnacentral:rRNA from 1 species
GGGCGUUAAGUUGCAGGGUAUAGACCCGAAACCCGGUGAUCUAGCCAUGGGCAGGUUGAAGGUUGGGUAACACUAACUGGAGGACCGAACCGACUAAUGUUGAAAAAUUAGCGGAUGACUUGUGGCUGGGGGUGAAAGGCCAAUCAAACCGGGAGAUAGCUGGUUCUCCCCGAAAGCUAUUUAGGUAGCGCCUCGUGAAUUCAUCUCCGGGGGUAGAGCACUGUUUCGGCAAGGGGGUCAUCCCGACUUACCAACCCGAUGCAAACUGCGAAUACCGGAGAAUGUUAUCACGGGAGACACACGGCGGGUGCUAACGUCCGUCGUGAAGAGGGAAACAACCCAGACCGCCAGCUAAGGUCCCAAAGUCAUGGUUAAGUGGGAAACGAUGUGGGAAGGCCCAGACAGCCAGGAUGUUGGCUUAGAAGCAGCCAUCAUUUAAAGAAAGCGUAAUAGCUCACUGGUCGAGUCGGCCUGCGCGGAAGAUGUAACGGGGCUAAACCAUGCACCGAAGCUGCGGCAGCGACGCUGAUGCGUUGUUGGGUAGGGGAGCGUUCUGUAAGCCUGCGAAGGUGUGCUGUGAGGCAUGCUGGAGGUAUCAGAAGUGCGAAUGCUGACAUAAGUAACGAUAAAGCGGGUGAAAAGCCCGCUCGCCGGAAGACCAAGGGUUCCUGUCCAACGUUAAUCGGGGCAGGGUGAGUCGACCCCUAAGGCGAGGCCGAAAGGCGUAGUCGAUGGGAAACAGGUUAAUAUUCCUGUACUUGGUGUUACUGCGAAGGGGGGACGGAGAAGGCUAUGUUGGCCGGGCGACGGUUGUCCCGGUUUAAGCGUGUAGGCUGGUUUUCCAGGCAAAUCCGGAAAAUCAAGGCUGAGGCGUGAUGACGAGGCACUACGGUGCUGAAGCAACAAAUGCCCUGCUUCCAGGAAAAGCCUCUAAGCAUCAGGUAACAUCAAAUCGUACCCCAAACCGACACAGGUGGUCAGGUAGAGAAUACCAAGGCGCUUGAGAGAACUCGGGUGAAGGAACUAGGCAAAAUGGUGCCGUAACUUCGGGAGAA